GGUUGGAGUAGGGUUGCUAGGAGAGAGCUCAGAAAGCUCAAGAUGGCUGCCCGAGAAACAGGGGCUCUAAAAGAAGCAAAAGACAAACUGGAAAAACGUGUAGAAGAACUUACUUGGCGUUUGCAGCUUGAGAAACGUUUGAGGACUGAUUUAGAAGAGGAGAAGGCACAAGAAAUUGCCAA